rnacentral:rRNA from 1 species
UAAGGAAUAUUGCUCAAUGGGAGAAAUCCUGAAGCAGCAACGCCGCGUGGAGGAUGAAGGGUCUAUGACUUGUAAACUCCUGUAAAGAAGGAAAAAAUUCCCAUUAGAUGGGAGAUGAUGGUACUUCUGGAGUAAGCCCCGGCUAACUACGUGCCAGCAGCCGCGGUAAUACGUAGGGGACAAGCGUUGUCCGGAUUUACUGGGUGUAAAGGGUGCUCAGGCGGAUUUGUAAGUCAGAGGUGAAAUCUUACAGCUUAACUGUGAAACUGCCUUUGAUACUGCAAGCCUAGAGUAUGGAAGAGAGUGAUGGAAUAUCUGGUGUAGCAGUGAAAUGCGUAGAUAUCAGAUAGAACACCAAUGGCGAAGGCAGUCACUUGGUCCAUUACUGACGCUAAAGCACGAAAGCGUGGGUAGCAAACA